UCCAGAUUUUUCUUGAGUAACUGUUGUUGCUUGUUCUUGAAUGCCACUGUUAUCAUAAUUACUUUGGCCUCUAACCUAUAUCUAUAUAUGUCCCCACUGCCACCUCACAACACAAUUAUCGCUUUUGCAAAGCCACAUCAUCAAUUUAUUGAUGUAAUUAUUAUGAGUAGAAUUUGUCAAGCUUUCUAUAUAAGACUUAAAAUUAAUAUUCCAAGUAUUUUUCCAAACAAGGUAAAUCAUAUAAGAUGUUAAAAAAUUAGAAUAGAAUAUGUUAUAGGGUAUGUAUAUAUUCUUAUUUCAAUAAUGUGCAUAAUUCUACAGAGCUUUUAUUGAAUUUGGUUUCUCACUUCUGUUGCCUAUAUAUAAAAUAGUUGUUUUCUCUUUGAUAACUACCAUAAAAUUAACACUUAUAGGGAAAAUUGAAAACUUCAAUUCGAUGAUAUGAUGGCAUUAAAAGAAGUAAAUCUAUGUUAAUUAUCUGGCGAAAUUGAAACAAUUAAGUGAAUAAUUGUUUCGUCUUGAUAAUUACCAUACUUAAGUUCGAUUGAGAAAAAGUCGAACAUCAAAGUAGACGUGUUUUGGAACCUUAAUUUUAAAGAAAAAAUAAAAAACUAUACAAAAAAAUAAAUUCAUAGUCAAAUAUACAAAAAGUUAAUGAAUAUCUGAGUUUGACUAUAUCUUAUUUCAUUUAAUAUAUUUAUUAGAUCCUAUUACUUUAAUCGUCCAAAUAUCUAUAAGAAUGGUUUUGAAAUUCUAAAGAUGAAAAUAAGAAGAAAAAUAUAAAAAUAUAAUCAACUAAUAUUCAAAAAAGUGAAGAUUUUCUUGAGCACUAAGGAUUAUAACCGUAUUGAUGAAAAUCAAUGAAAUAUCUCCUAUAUUAUAAGCAUAUAUGGAAAUUGAACAUAACUUGAUAAAAGUUAUAUGUUUCAAGGUGGUUUUUCAAGGUGCUAUGAAAAUUGGAGUGAAAAAAUAGUGAGAAUAUGAAUUAUUGAAAUUCAAAUUAUUAUCCUGUCAAAAGCAUAAAUGAGAUAGAAGCGUUCCACAGUUAUGAAUCUUUCAGCAAAAGCUCGAAAGGUAAAAAGAAAGAAAAAAAUGGUAAAUAAGAUUGUAUGAAAUCUAAGUAUUACUGGGUAAUAAAAAAAUCCAUGUAAGCGACACAUUAUGUAUUUGGUAAAUAGAGAUACUUUGGAGAUGGUUGUAGAUAAGAUUAAACGAAAAAAGAAUCACAAAUAUAUAGAGGCAACCAAAAAGAGAGAUCAAAGUUCAAUAAAAGGAACAUAAUAUUGAAAGCUCCGUAAGAUAAUGCACAAUACUGAAAUAAGAAUAUAUAGAUAUCCUAUGGCGUGGUUCUACUUUAAUAUGUACCAUUUUAUAUAAGAUAUUUAGAAAAUACUUAUAGUAUAACUUUUAAGUCCUAUGUGGGAACUUAAAAUAUUCUUCUCAUCAUAACAUUUACAUAAAUAAAUUGAUGACGUGGCUUUAUGAGAGGUUGUAUUGCUUUGUGAGGUGGUUGCACGAGAUUUCGGUAAAAGAGCUUGUUAAUAUAUAAUAUAUAGACAUAGAUUCUUUGUAGAACACGCUCAAUUUUCUUCAUUAUUGAAGAACAUAGAGAUUGGGAGAAAAGAAUCGUGUGUUGGACAGCCACCACCUCUACUUAUAUAUUUUAUUGAGUUAAUUACACAAAGAAUAGGAAGUAAAGACUAUUUACAUUUAUGUCCCUAAUCUAUUAAUUUCCAUAUAUUUAACACACCCAAGCUGAAGCAUAUACAUUGUGUCUGCCCAGCUUGUUACAAAUAUAAUCGACUCGAGGACCCCUGCGAGCUUUAGUAAAAAUAUCUGCUAAUUGAUCAUUUGAACUAACAGAGGCUGUCACAAUAUCCUGAGACUGCAACUUCUCUCUAACAAAGUGACAGUCGACCUUGAUAUGUUUCGUCCUCAUGAAAAAUCGGGUUCGACGCAAUGUGCAGUGCGACCUGAUUAUCACAAAAUAACUCCAUAGGACAAGGUUGUUCUACUCUUAACUUUCAAAGCAAUUGCUUCACCCACAACAGUUCACAAGUGGUUAGGGCCAUCGCCCUAUAUUCAGCUUCGACACUUGAUUGAGCAAUGACAUUUUGCUUCUCUCUCUUCUACGAAAUGACAUUCCCUCCAAACAAUACAUAGUAACCUAUUGUGAAUCUUCUAUCUGAUUUUGAAUUGGUCCCUAAUCUGCAUCAAUAUAUCCAACUACAUUAUGACCUCGAUCUUGAUAUAGCAAUCCUCUACCAGAGCACCCUUAAGAUACUUCAUAAUUCGAAUUACAACAUUCCAGUGGAUUUCAAUUAGUGAAUCUAGGAAUUGACUUGACAACACUCAUCGCGAAAGAUAUGUCUGGUCUAGUAUCUGUGAGAUAGUUCAGCUUACCAACUAGUCUGCGAUAUUGCCCAACAUCUAAAAAGGGUUCCCUUUCUCCUGGUGCCAACCUAACAUUAGGAUCCAUCGGUAUAUCAAUUGGCUUACUCAAGCAAUUUCGUUUCUUCUAAGAUGUCUAACACAUACUUCUUUUGUGAUGAGUAAAUACCACGCUCAGACUGAGCAACCUCAAUCCCAAGAAAGUAUCUCAAGGCUCCCAAGUUUUUAGUUUGAAACUGUGAGUGCAAAUAACCAUUUAGGUGAAAGAUGCCAACUGCAUCAUCCUUUGUAAUUACAAUAUCAUCAACAUAUACAACUAGGAGAAUGUGUCUUCAUUCUUAGUGUUUGAAGAACACCGAAUGAUCAAAUUGACUUCUCAAUAGACCAAACUUAAGAACAGCUGAACUGAAGUGACCAAACUAUGCCCGAGGAGACUACUUUAGCCCAUACAAAGAUUUGCAGAGUUUAUAUACCUUGCCAAAGUACUCCCCUUGAGCAACAAACCCAGGUGGUUGUUGCUCCAUAUAAACCGCCUCUUCUAAGUCUCCAUGUAAAAAAGCAUUAUUGAUGUCCAACUGAUGGAGUGACAAAUGGUUAAUAGCCGCCAAUGACUAAUAGAUGCACAAAAGCCACCUUUGCUACAAGAGAGGAGGCAUCUCCAUAAUCCAGUCUAGGAAUCUAUGUAUAAUCCUUGGCAACUAGACGAGCUUUCAAUCGAUCAACACAAUCAUUUGGGGACAUCUUCACCGUAUACACUAAUCGGCAACCCACAAUAGUCUUUUCAGGGGGCAAAGAUACAAGUUUUCAAGUGCCGUUGGCAUGCAAAACAGACAUCUCUUCCAUUGCUUCCCGCCAACUAGGAUGUGGCAAUGCCUCCCUAACAGAUUGAGGAAUAGAAACAGAAUCCAAAGAAAAAAGAAAGGCAGUAUAGGGAGGAGACGGACAAUUAUAACUGAGAAAGUUAUAUAGAGGAUAAGGAUUGGCAGUGGAACAGGUACCUUUUCUAAGGGUAAUCGGCAAAUCUUGCUUCAUGGAAGACAUCAAUGGUAGAUUCGAGGUUGGAGGUGGUCGGGGAAGUAAAUGGCGUCUAAGGUGUCUCAAGAGGAAGAGUGAAUGUGGAUGGAACACGAGACAGGACAAUUACAUAUAGAGAAGGGAGAGGCAGUGAUUCAGAAAGUAACUUAGAUUGAUUGAGAGACGCUGAGAAAAAAGGACUGGACUCAAAGAAGGUGACAUCAACAAUCGCAAAAUAUCGACGUUAUUUUGGAGAUAAACAUCUAUAUCCUUUAUGCUCACGAGGAUAUCCCAAGAAUACACACUUUAAAGAGCGAGGAGAAAGUUUUGAUGAACCUGGAAGCAAUUGAUGGACAAAACAGAGACCCAAAGAUACAUGGAGGCAAUGAAUAAAUUGCAUCACGAGGAAACAAGACUGAAAAAGGGAUUUGACCAUGAAGGACAAUAGAAGGCAUUCUAUUGCUCAAAUAUUAUGCAGUGAGAAGUGCAUCACCCUAGAACUUGACAGAUAUGUUAUAUGUAUCAAAAGUGUGUAGGGUUUCAACAAGAUGUCUAUUCUUUUGUUCAACAACUCCAUUUUGUUGUGGAGUAUAAGCACAAGAAGACUGAUGUAUCAUGUCUCGAGAGGACAUAUGAUUGAAAGGAUGCUGAGAAAUAUUCUUGGGCAUUAUUACUACGAAAGGUACGAAUUGAAA